rnacentral:tRNA from 1 species
AUAGCAGUAUUCCGAUUGGCCGGAUACUUCACCUGGAAUGAAGAGGAUGCUGGUUCGAGUCCAGCCUGCUAUA